GACGAACGCUGGCGGCGUACUUAACACAUGCAAGUCGAACGGAAGGGCCCUGCUUUUGUGGGGUGCUCGAGUGGCGAACGGGUGAGUAACACGUGAGUAACCUGCCCUUGACUUUGGGAUAACUUCAGGAAACUGGGGCUAAUACCGGAUAGGAGCUCCUGCUGCAUGGUGGGGGUUGGAAAGUUUCGGCGGUUGGGGAUGGACUCGCGGCUUAUCAGCUUGUUGGUGGGGUAGUGGCUUACCAAGGCUUUGACGGGUAGCCGGCCUGAGAGGGUGACCGGCCACAUUGGGACUGAGAUACGGCCCAGACUCCUACGGGAGGCAGCAGUGGGGAAUAUUGCACAAUGGGCGGAAGCCUGAUGCAGCAACGCCGCGUGCGGGAUGACGGCCUUCGGGUUGUAAACCGCUUUCGCCUGUGACGAAGCGUGAGUGACGGUAAUGGGUAAAGAAGCACCGGCUAACUACGUG
rnacentral:rRNA from 1 species